AUACGGAGGGUGCAAGCGUUAAUCGGAAUUACUGGGCGUAAAGGGUACGUAGGCGGUUAGAUAAGUUGGAUGUGAAAGCCCUGGGCUCAACCUAGGAACUGCAUUCAAAACUGUCUAACUAGAGUGUAUAAGAGGUUAGCGGAAUUCCAGGUGUAGCAGUGAAAUGCGUAGAUAUCUGGAGGAACAUCAGUGGCGAAGGCGGCUAACUGGUAUAACACUGACGCUGAGGUACGAAAGCGUGGGGAGCGAACGGGAUUAGAAACCCGAGUAGUCC
rnacentral:rRNA from 1 species